rnacentral:rRNA from 1 species
AUUGAACGCUGGCGGCAUGCCUUACACAUGCAAGUCGAACGGUAACAGGUUAAGCUGACGAGUGGCGAACGGGUGAGUAAUGUAUCGGAACGUGCCCAGUCGUGGGGGAUAACUGCUCGAAAGAGCAGCUAAUACCGCAUACGACCUGAGGGUGAAAGCGGGGGAUCGCAAGACCUCGCGCGAUUGGAGCGGCCGAUAUCAGAUUAGGUAGUUGGUGGGGUAAAGGCCUACCAAGCCUACGAUCUGUAGCUGGUCUGAGAGGACGACCAGCCACACUGGGACUGAGACACGGCCCAGACUCCUACGGGAGGCAGCAGUGGGGAAUUUUGGACAAUGGACGCAAGUCUGAUCCAGCCAUGCCGCGUGCGGGAAGAAGGCCUUCGGGUUGUAAACCGCUUUUGUCAGGGAAGAAAUCUUCUGGGUUAAUACCUCGGGAGGAUGACGGUACCUGAAGAAUAAGCACCGGCUAACUACGUGCCAGCCGCCGCGGUAAUAC